rnacentral:tRNA from 1 species
AAGGCACUAAGUUAAAAAAACUAUAGGUCUUCAAAACCUACAAUGAAUAUUGUUUCGUGUUUUG